rnacentral:piRNA from 1 species
UAAUCAGUGAAUAGAAUGUAA